UACAUAUGCAAAAGAGUGUGGGCUACAUUCAUUUCAGAAUAUGUUGCAGACGUCCCAUUCCAUAUUGAGUCGGAUACCAUGAAUGGGAAAAUUACUGUACCCUCUCGUAGCUUUGUUUUUUGUUGUUGUUGGCCAGACAGUUACAAACCAUCUCCUUUCACGCUCGCCUUUAAUAACAAGCGGAUAAAAACCAUGAGCCACUGCAACACGAAAGGACUUGAGCCCUAGGACCAUGCCCCAGGACUACCUGACAUGAUGACUCCUUGCUGUCCCCAGUCCACCUGGCCAUGCUGCUGCUCCAGUUUCAACUGGCCUGGGCCCUAGGACCAUGUCCCAGGACUACCUGACAUGAUGACUCCUUGCUGUCCCCAGUCCACCUGGCCAUGCUGCUGCUCCAGUUUCAACUGUUCUGCCUUACUAUUAUUCAACCAUGCUGGUCAUUUAUGAACAUUUGAACAUCUUGGCCACGUUCUGUUAUAAUCUCCACCCGGCACAGCCAGAAGAGGACUGGCCACCCCACAUAUGCUCUCUCUAAUUCUCUCUUUCUUUCUCUCUCUCGGAGGACCUGAGCCCUAGGACCGUGCCCCAGGACUACCUGACAUGAUGACUCCUUGCUGUCCCCAGUCCACCUGACUGUGCUGCUGCUCCAGUUUCAACUGUUCUGCCUUAUUAUUAUUCGACCAUGCUGGUCAUUUAUGAACAUUUGAACAUCUUGGUCAUGUUCUGUUAUAAUCUCUACCCGGCACAGCCAGAAGAGGACUGGCCACCCCACAUAGCCUGGUUCCUCUCUAGGUUUCUUCCUAGGUUUUGGCCUUUCUAGGGAGUUUUUCCUAGCCACCGUGCUUUUACACCUGCAUUGUUUGCUGUUUGGGGUUUUAGGCUGGGUUUCUGUACAGCACUUUGAGAUAUCAGCUGAUGUACGAAGGGCUAUAUAAAUAAAUUUGAUUUGAUUUGA